UUAUGCACCUUGAGAAACGUAUAAAUGGGAUCUUAUUUUAUUGUAUCUUAUUUUUCUGUUCUGUUCAUUUUUUCAAAACCAAAAAAAUAAAUAAAUAAAAGAAGACAAAUGUUCUGUUCAGUUCUAUGCUGCCGCUGCAUUUCCAUCUCCAAUUUUGCAUGCUUAUUGCAUAGGCAUAGCAUAGCGUAAUUGCACUAUGUGGAGGGUGUAAGGAACAAGAGCAGUGCCGUUAGGGUUCCUCUUUUUCCUCUACAUUUUCAUGAUACGGUUACUACUAUUCACAUAUCUCGGUGAUGCGAUUCCAUCACAAUUGACAGCGUAGCAGACUAGCUGUCCCAUGAGUAGAACGGUGGCAGAAGAAAAACUAGGAAUGAAGUCAAGGAUCACCAAUUCAAAUGCUUGAAUUUACACAACAAAGUGAAGAGUAUGCACACAAACCUAUCAAAAUUCAUCCUUUUUUUUUCGGUCAUCAAGAUUCACCACUCACUCCUCUUGAUGCUUUUGAAAACUCUCGAACUUGGAUAAAUGUCAAUAUUAUGUCAAACCAAAGGUAUUUUCGCAUCUUGCUUUAUAGGAUUGGGAUUAAUCCUUGUUGAAUUAAGAUCUGAUGCAUAAUUCCACAUGUGGAAAAGUCAAAUAAUUGAUAAAGUUGCUAGAGACAGAGCAAAUAAAGAGGAACUUAAGACACCAAAAUUGGGAAUAUAGAAGCACACCAAAAAUGAAGGUGUGUGAGUGUGAGGAAAAUGGAAUUUUAAUUAGAUUUAGUUUUCAAGGUUUACAUAAUCAACAUGUAUUGUCGUAUCAAUAAAAAUAACUAAUUUUCAAUCGUGACUGAAUAUGACUGCAUCAAAAUUAACUCUCUUGUUAUGCUCUUCUUAUAUUAUUGCUCUUACUUUUGUUUCAAUAUCAACUGUAAGUAACUGAGAUGUGUGAUUUCAAAGUCCAUACGAAACAUCUCAAUGCAUCUCAGGUGUUGCCAGCUGCAUAGCUCAGGUGUAAGUAACUUUCAUUUUUCCCUUUCAAUCCCUUUGACUCAUCCAUUUCUUUUAUUCCUACAUUAGUAUGAAUUACUUUCAUGUUCGUCAUGGUCACCACACUAUCUUGAAAUCAAAGCAUUGUGGAAUGGAUAUUAAUGGAGAUUCUGCAAAUAAUCAGCUUUCUCUAUACAUGGGGUAGUGGUAAAAUUUUUUCCCAUUCAAUUUAGUAUUGAUUUUUCUUCCCUCCUUCGCUUUUACAGAUAGAAGCCAAACGCCAGAUAAGCUGCGAGGUACACAACGGUGGUUGUUGAUUAAUAGCUAACAGGCUGCAAGUCUCAACUGUUAGAGAGGGUGUGGACUCAUGAUCAACUUGAGAUCAAUGUUGGCAGGCUAGUCAAAAAGUUUGUCAUCUUUGCAUUAAUUGUUUUUGCGUGGUUGAUUAGUAUUUCGUUUCUGGUUUAUAUAUCUGUUGCAGUUCAAUUUAAUUACCUUUGUUAAUGAUCUCAUAUAGGUCACAACAAUGAUAACAAUCUUUCUAAGAACAACUGGUUAUUUGAUAAUAAUCAAGUAGAUUAUGUAUGAAGCACUGUGUUUUUCGCUGUUGAAGGUUUAUCGGAGUUUAGUAUUUUUCUUUAUGAGCAUAUAGUGAAUUAAUACUAUAGUGCUUACUGCAUCAUCUUAUGUCCUCGUUUUGAUUGGACUUCCACAAGAAGAUAGACUUGCUGCCACUUGUAGCAUCCAAUCUCAAUUAGAUAUGUAGAUGCAUAUAUAAGAAGGUAAACUAGUUGUUUGGUGCCAUGAUAUUACCAUCUAAUGUUCCUUCAAAAAUGUUUAAAAGCACAUAAUUACAAAAUGAAAGUUGGCUGGUUUCCUCAUACACAUUUUUCUUCCUCAGAAAUACAUAAGACUCAGCCAUCCAGAUCUGAGCUCUUGAGAUCUGUACUUGCUGCUGUUUUGUUGAGGAUGUCCGAUUCAGCAAUCACCUUGAUGGAAACGACAAACCCAAGCACAAAUGACACCUCCCAUUGCAGACAAAGGCCUCACUUCCACUUCCAUUACUCGUAAUAAAGUUCAUGGCCACUAAUGUUAAAAGUAAUGACAAAAUAUUCAUUUUUACGUUUGUAACUUUGUAUGCACAAAAUAAUAUAACUUCGUAUUAAUUCAUUAAUUGUACUUUUAAAUUUUAAA